UACGGAGGGUGCAAGCGUUAAUCGGAAUUACUGGGCGUAAAGGGUGCGUAGGUGGUUCGUUAAGUCCGUUGUGAAAGCCCCGAGCUCAACUUGGGAAUUGCAGUGGAUACUGGCGAGCUAGAGUGCGGUAGAGGAAGGUGGAAUUCCCGGUGUAGCGGUGAAAUGCGUAGAGAUCGGGUGGAACACCAGUGGCGAAGGCGGCAUCCUGGCCCCUGACCUGACGCUGAGGCUCGAAAGCGUGGGGAGCAAACAGG
rnacentral:rRNA from 1 species